CCUACGGGAGGCUGCAGUGAGGAAUCUUCCACAAUGGGCGAAAGCCUGAUGGAGCAACGCCGCGUGAAGGAUGAAGGCCCUAGGGUCGUAAACUUCUUUUAUAAGUGAAGAAUUUGACGGUAACUUAUGAAUAAGCACCGGCUAACUACGUGCCAGCAGCCGCGGUCAUACGUAGGGUGCAAGCAUUAUCCGGAGUGACUGGGCGUAAAGAGUUGCGUAGGUGGUUUGUUAAGUAGGUAGUGAAAUCUGACGGCUCAACCGUACAGGCUAUUACCUAAACUGGCAGACUCGAGAAUGGUAGAGGUAACUGGAAUUUCUUGUGUAGGAGUGAAAUCCGUAGAUAUAAGAAGGAACACCAAUGGCGUAGGCAGGUUACUGGACCAUUUCUGACACUGAGGCACGAAAGCGUGGGGAGCGAACGGGAUUAGAUA
rnacentral:rRNA from 1 species